GACGAACGCUGGCGGCGUGCUUAACAUAUGCAAGUCGAGCGGUAAGGCCCUUUCGGGGGUACACGAGCGGCGAACGGGUGAGUAACACGUGGGUGACCUGCCCUCAGCUCUGGGAUAAGCCUGGGAAACUGGGUCUAAUACUGGAUAUGACUCCACGGUGCAUGUCGUGGGGUGGAAAGCCUUGUGCGGCUGAGGAUGGGCCCGCGGCCUAUCAGCUUGUUGGNGGGGUGAUGGCCUACCAAGGCGACGACGGGUAGCCGGCCUGAGAGGGCGACCGGCCACACUGGGACUGAGACACGGCCCAGACUCCUACGGGAGGCAGCAGGUGGGGAAUAUUGGACAAUGGGCGAAAGCCUGAUCCAGCGAUGCCGCGUGUGUGAAGAAGGCCUGCGGGUUGUAAAGCACUUUCAGUA
rnacentral:rRNA from 1 species